GCUAUAGUAGCUCAACUGGGAGAGCACUGUGUGUAACUCGGAGGUUGUUGGUUCAAGUCCAACCUAUAGCU
rnacentral:tRNA from 1 species